rnacentral:lncRNA from 1 species
AAGCUUAAAUAUUUUUGGCCCCAUUGAACACUGAGUGCACCUCCUAAGAACAUUUCUAAAACUAAACUUGUCAGCCUGGGUAUAGAUCUUGCUAAUGAUUUAAUCACAGCAAACAAUGACUUCCCAUUUAUACUGACACUUUAAGUUAUGCAAGACUUUACUGUUUUAGUACAGGAAUAUCUUAUAGCUCAUGAAGAGGAUUCUGGCCAUUGUUUAUAACAGACUGGUGGAUGGAGAAGAGUAUAUGUGUUUUUUGACUAUCCUCCAUAACAGGUCGCACGGGGAGAGCAGGUCACUCAGGCAAAGCCGUUACUUUCUUCACAGAAGACGACAAGCCAUUACUGCGAAGUAUAGCCAGCGUUAUUGAGCGGGCGGGCUGUCCUGUGCCGGAUUACAUCAAGCAUUUCCGCAAGCUGCAAAGGUGAGAGAGUCGGUGAUUUGACCCCGACAGGUUAAGGGGGUUUGGAAGGCGGGCCAGCUGGGCUUCGCUCCUCUUACUGCUGGUGCGAUCUAGGCGUAGAGGGGAACCGGAGCAUGCAGAGUUCUGCUCUUCAAACUAGUUUCGCUGUGCCUGUUUGGAAACGCAGUCCCAAACCAGGCUUUGCCAUUUCAGGGACCACAACACACGAUAAUUAGUCGCAAACAGGAAAGGGAAGAAGAGAGCGAAGGGAGGGAGAGUGUGUGGCUCGCUUCCGGUUAUCUGUGCUUUAGACUUGCGUUGUGGUAGCCAAACCCUUUUUAAAAGGUGUUUUUUGCUUUCCAUCCCAUUGAAACGAGCUUAUCUGUCUGCCCCUUCCCGUGUUGUUUGCAGCAAACAAAAGAAGAAGCUGAUCAAGAAGCCGCUGGAAAGGGAACACAUCGUUACGUCUCCUCAGUACUUGAAGAGGAUAGCCAAGAGGAAAAAGUAAGAGGAAAAUUCUGCAUCUGGAGCACCUAAGGAAAAAGCUGCAUUUUUAUCUGAUUCCAUAGGAAGGGAUGUGGGGGGAGCAUCGAUUACCCCUCUUGAUUGACGUAAGAAGCUGCCUCUUAUGAGUCAGACUUUUGAUCCAUCUAGCUCAGGAUCAUUUAA